GUUAUUUAGCAAUGGACAAACCUUAACUGAGAAUAAAGAAUGAAGAAGGAAGAAGAUUGGGAAGAAUAGCAGCGUGCAACAAUUAAGUGAAGCGAUUCUGUGACUUAGUGAGACAUCGACUCAACAGAAGAGUAGAUUAGUAGAAGAAAUGUUUGGAGAAGGCUUAGCCGCUUAGAAUCGAGAAGACAAUGCUUUCUUUUCCCCCUUCACACAUCACCAUCAGAGCAGGAAGAGGGCUUCACGGAUUCUUCCCACCUUCAUUGUUUCGGCCUCAUCGAUUCCGGAGACGACCUCCUCGCAAUUCGAUCGACCAAAUGCGACCCUUUGCACCCCCUUAUUACGUUUCGUGUUUCCCUCUCAUUGUAUUACAUUCGUCUGCCUUCUUCCAUCUUUGCCCGUUAGUCAGGUGAUGAACACGAUGACGGCUGUAUAUAAGAAAAGAAAUUAGGUUAAAAGUGAAUGCUAGCAUGAUUAUAAGGACUAUUUGUGGAAGCUAUUUAUCAAAUUACUAAAAUACCCUUGUUUAUUUAUUUAAUUAUUUAAAUUGUUAUUUAAUUUUGAUUGACCCACAUUUAUGCAUAUAAUCACACAAUAAUUAGUUAGAAUAUAUGAACCUCUCUCUCUCUCUCUCUCUAUAUAUAUAUAUAUAUAAUUUUGAUUGAAAAAUUUCGAAUACAACUUUCAUUUUUCUUCAACCUGAACAUAUUUUUUAUUGAUAUUUUUCUCGUGCAUUAUAAAUGAUGUCUAUUGUACUUACAUUAUGUUCAUUUUGACUCUUCAAGUUCGAAAGAAUAUUACGUUGAGGGACAUCAUUAUCUAUCAUGUCUUUCACCAUACGACACUCAUCUUUAAUCAAUUGUUUUGCAAAUGCAUGACCCUCCAUAUACAUUAUAGAGUCAUGAAUAUGUCUUAUACUAAUUUCUGACCAAUUCUAAGGGACAAUCUAUUUUGUUUAUCCCCGUAUUUCUGCCAGAUGCAUUUGUACCUCUAUAAACACCAUUUCGAUCACAAACGAAAAUGACUUUUGAAACAUAGCCACUUUUUAUUUUUGAUCUCUUUGUAAUGACCAUAUAUCCGAGAAUUCGUGCCAAAUUAUCAACUCAUUCCUUCAAAAUUUCACGAGUGUUAAACACCUGACAAAUAAAAUACAUAGCUGGUCAGUUUGAAAAUAGUCUCAACAUAUUAAUAUACUAAUACUAUCUAGAAAAAAAAAACCUGAUUAGUUUGAAAAAUCAUCAUAUGAUUCAAUAGUUGUAGAUAUCUUGAUUUACACAAAGAUAUGAGAUAUAAAAUUUUC
rnacentral:lncRNA from 1 species